CUACGGGCGGCAGCAGUGAGGAAUAUUGCACAAUGGGGGGAACCCUGAUGCAGCAACGCCGCGUGGAGGAUGACGCAUUUCGGUGUGUAAACUCCUUUUAUAUGUCAAGAAAAUGACGGUAGCAUAUGAAUAAGCACCGGCUAACUCCGUGCCAGCAGCCGCGGUAAUACGGAGGGUGCAAGCGUUACUCGGAAUCACUGGGCGUAAAGGACGCGUAGGCGGGUUGGAAAGUCAGGUGUGAAAUCCUACAGCUUAACUGUAGAACUGCACUUGAAACUUCUAAUCUAGAGUAUGGGAGGGGGAGAUGGAAUUAGUGGUGUAGGGGUAAAAUCCGUAGAUAUCACUAGGAAUACCUAAAGCGAAGGCGAUCUCCUGGAACAUUACUGACGCUAAGGCGUGAAAGCGUGGGGAGCAAACAGGAUCAGAUACCCCUGUAGUC
rnacentral:rRNA from 1 species